rnacentral:lncRNA from 1 species
CCUGGUUUGAAAACCAAUUAACAUUUUCCCCUGGAAGUCAUACUCUUAAUGCAGCCCAUGCAAUCGGCUAAGGAAAGGAAAUGAUAUCAUCAUCUCUUCUGGUUUGCUGUUUGGGGCUGCUUUGCCAGGAAAACCCAGUCACCUUGGAAUAACGCAACAGACCUCAGCAGCCUGGUUCCCUGAAGCCUUGCGGGGAGUUUGAGUAUUUUAACGAGAGAGCAGCUUUCUGAGCGGCGGACGCCCUGCUGCACCGGCCGGGGCGGCUCGCCGAUGACGCAGUUUUUUUGCACGGGGUCAAGCCUAAGCCCAGCACCACAUCCUGAGGCUUUGCUCUCCCCCACCUAACCGCAGACCUAGCUUCUGAUAACGGCAAGACUUUGUUUCAGUGAUAACGCCUGAAAAGGAAGACGCGGUAAGAACAGGUUAUUUGUAGUACAAAACGCCCGUCGGCCGGGUGCCAGGCCGCCUGUCCAGGUUUCCCCGCGCAGCGAGGUCUGCGGCGGGCACGCGAGGGCUCCCCCCUUUCUUCCCUUUAAGCAGGUUUUAUUUUCUGACAAAGCCAGCAGUCCGGGCAAGCUGCAAACGGCGCUUUUGCAGCUCGCAGCGCUGUCGCCCUCCUGUGGCUCCAGUACUAACCGAGCUGCAGCAAGCCCAGCUUAAAAACCUAAUGCUGUAACGCAAGCGAGAAACUAAAAUUUGCAGUUAUAGAAUCUGCGAUUACGGCCACGACUGUGGUCUGCGGAUGCGAUACUCCCCGGCGGGCAUGCGAAGGCACAGCAGGCCAGCAGGACUUGGAGACCGCGCUUGCGAGCCGACGGGGUUUUCACCCGUCGUGACCUUUGGAGUCAGCGACGUGACGCUGGGACAGAUGCUGUGCUACUGCCCAGAGCAAAGCAGCUGCAAGACAAAAGCGCAAGACGUCUCCCCUUACCUCCUGCGCGAGGAAGCACCAGCCCUUCCCCUCCAGGAGCCAAGGAACUUUCCCUCCCUGAAGGAAGGGCGGAGCCGCGAUACUUGCUGUAACGGCGAUAUUCACUGCGGCGAUAAGCCAGCAUCACCCACACGCGGCCGCCUGCUUCGCAUCUUGUGCUUCGCUGUCACCCUCGCCCUCGGCAUGGGAAAGGGAGAAGCCCCCCCGCGCAACCUCCCGCCCGUUUGGUCCCCGACCCCUCUCCAAGGAGCGCUCAGGGGCACCGGCACCCAGGGGCUCAUUCCUGUCUCGAGCAGACACCGGGACGGGUCUAGGGAGCCACAUGCAACCAGCAAAAACAUUGCUCAUUCAAGCAUGGUCAGAGUAUAUAUCCUUCACUUGCAUUCAACCUUACGAGACACGACGCGCUUAUGGAAAACAAUACAGCAGAUAUCCCGAGAUGUAUGGAAGCACUGCACCUACCAGAGGACCGCGGGCGCCGCUGGGGUCGGACGCGGCUGCGAGGGGGCGUAGGCACCUCCGGCGAGGUGGAUGAUGCACAGCUGCUUGUUACCUGCAGAUACACAGAAAAGUACUUAUUUUUCAGAGCAAUAUAACCAUAUAUUCUCACUUAAACCUGAUCUUUUUCUAAAGACAGCUUAUGUUGAAAAAUUGCCUCAGAACAAACAGAUUUUAACUAAAGUCAAAUUUGUCAAGGUUCAGAAAGUUUUAGACAAAUCUCUGCAAACAGCUUGUUUCUCGCCCCCAGAACAGAGGUGUAGUUCCUGUAACGAUUUUGGUACAACCCAAACAAAUUUUGUUCCUGCUAUUGGCUCAGUUUAAGCAGAGAAUGCUAUUCAGCAAAGGAAAACCCAACAUGCAAAAGCCUGGCUGCAUCACGUAUUCAUUUGAUCUAUGAAUUCUUUUCUGCGCUGAGCAGGACUGACCAGAGAGGUGGUUUUGUUCAGCGAGACCCAAGCCCUGGGGGAUGCUCUGCUCCCAGCCCCAGCCCCAGCGCAGCUCCUGGGAGCCGGGGGUUGCUCAAGGCCUCCCUUUGGACGCGUAGCCCGUCAACAGUGGGAUUUCAGGCAGGAAGAACAGUUCAACGAGGAAUUCCAUGGAUGUUACCUCAACUUGUACUUGUUAUCUUUAAUAUCAACAUGGAGUUUAUAACCGUAAGAGAGCUCAUAAUAAGCUGCUUUGUUUGUUUUUCUGCUAGCAGGUCUGGCUUUGUUUUCCACUUUGAAAAACGUCUAUUAAAACAGCUAGCACGGAGACUACGAGGCCAAAAGUAAAUAUCUGAACUGAUACAACACUUGGCAAGAGCCGAGGAGGAAACUGCUUCCCGGCGAGGGGCAGCGCUCAGGCGGCAGCCCAGGAGGAGGAGGAGGAGGGUGGCUGCCCCGCAGCACCAGCUCCCACCUGGCUAAUUACCCUUUACGAGCAACGCCUUUGCUUUCCGUUAAUCCCUUCCUCAGCUUCUCCUGCUUGGCACCAGGGCCUCCCACCCCCAUGCUCUCGCGAGCCUGAACGAGGUCAUCACCCCCAAGAAUGACAGGAAACUGCUAAAAACUGCUGCACCAUCUACUAAAACCUCCAUCAGCGGAAACCCACCCCCGUCCCGAGGUCCGCGCUGCGGCCCCGGCUCCGGCACGCUCCCAGUGUCCGAGACAGCCCCGGACCCUGCCUGGGGGUGCGCGGCACAGCCCAGCCCUCGGCUGCAAGGCCUGUGCGAGGGGGCAUUUCCUCGGGGGAGGCUUUCCAGGGGACGGUCCAGAGCUGGACAGGGCACAGCUGCAGAGAGCAGCAAGUCCCACUAUGCCCAGGGGCUUCCCAAGGUUUCUCUCCAGGGGACGGGAGCAGCGAGGCGGAGCAGGGACAAACAGCAGCCAGGCACAUUGCAGCACAUUUUAUUCUCUACAGCAGAGAUUAACUCAUUCAACAUUUAUCCUGUCACUGACUUGAAACAGUUGCACAGAGUUUAUUGAGAAAUUGCCCCAGUUUAUUGUGUGCUUUCCAAGCAAUUAUGCUACACUGAUACCCAAUGCCCAGCAACCGGUUGUGUUCAGUGCUGUGUCAAUGUGUGUACAUUUACUCAUCAUAAACAUGCUUCAUUAGCUUCCACAUACUAAAGACUAGCAGGUCCUCUCUGCAGUGAGUAUUGCUAGAAGCAAUAAAAAUUAUGUAACCACUCUUCA